CACGGUUUCCAACUUGGAAUCUUCUCUAGGGAUGAGGACUCAAUGCAGAACGAAGAGGCUCGGAUCAAGGCAGGCUGACUGGGAUCAAGGCAGGCUGACUGGUUUCUGCUGUAGGAGGAAAUGCAGAUUUCUACUUGUCGCUCCAGCUGGGGUGGAGCCGAAAUAGGAUCUUUGUCCCCCAGGCUGGGCUUUGAGUGGGAAGGAUGGCUGUCACUUGGGCCUUUGGUUUCUAAACAUGAACUUGCUCCCAACCAGACCACGGAUAAUGUCCAAGGUUUCAGUGGGAAUGAUCACGUGAUUCUGAGGCGCAGGCUCACACUGGGCCUUUUCCCUCCUGGUCCCAAUUAGAUCUUGAGAGAGA
rnacentral:lncRNA from 1 species